CUUUGACCUCGGAUCAGGUAGGGAUACCCGCUGAACUUAAGCAUAUC
rnacentral:rRNA from 4 species